UACGGAGGGGGCAAGCGUUGUUCGGAUUUACUGGGCGUAAAGGGCGCGUAGGCGGCGCAACAAGUCACUUGUGAAAUCUCCGGGCUUAACUCGGAACUGCCAAGUGAUACUGUCGUGCUAGAGUGCAGAAGGGGCAAUCGGAAUUCUUGGUGUAGCGGUGAAAUGCGUAGAUAUCAAGAGGAACACCAGAGGCGAAGGCGGAUUGCUGGGCUGACACUGACGCUGAGGCGCGAAAGCUAGGGUAGCAAACGGG
rnacentral:rRNA from 1 species